rnacentral:rRNA from 1 species
CCCUUAGAUGUUCUGGGCCGCACGCGCGCUACACUGAUGCAUUCAACGAGCCUAGCCUUGACCGAGAGGUCCGGGUAAUCUUUGAAACUGCAUCGUGAUGGGGCUAGAUUAUUGCAAUUAUUAAUCUUCAACGAGGAAUGCCUAGUAAGCGUGAUUCAUCAAAUCGCGUUGAUUACGUCCCUGCCCUUUGUACACACCGCCCGUCGCUCCUACCGAUUGAGCGUGUUGGUGAGGAGUUUGGAUUGGCCUCGGAAGGUGGUUCGCCACCGUCCGUAGCUGAGAAGUUCUCCAAACCGCCCCACUUAGAGGAAGGAGAAGUCGUAACA